rnacentral:rRNA from 1 species
AACCCGCCCUGCAUGAAGUCGGAAUUGCUAGUAAUCGCGGAUCAGCAUGCCGCGGUGAAUACGUUCCCGGGCCUUGUACACACCGCCCGUCACACCAUGGGAGCCGGUAAUACCCGAAGUCAGUAGUCCAACCUCGUGAGGACGCUGCCGAAGGUAGGAUUGGCGACUGGGGGUGAAGUCGUAACAAGGUAAC